AAGAUGAGAUUUCUUUAAAGGACCGUGGGAGACGACCACGUUGAUAGGCUACAGGUGUAAAGGCAGUAAUGUCAUAGCCGAGUAGUACUAAUAAUCCGUAUAGCUUGAUGCA
rnacentral:rRNA from 1 species